rnacentral:lncRNA from 1 species
AAGCCCCUCUGGGCUGCCUGGACGGAUGAAGUCCAGGUGGAAAGCCAGUCGACGUUUCCCGGGAGCUACGACUCCAGGGACCCUCAUCCGAGCUUAACCGUUGGAACAAUCACAAACCCAGAAACUUUUAGCUGAGUGUUAUUUAUAAAAAGCGCUGUUUUGACUGCUGUUGGACUUGGAAAAGCUUUGCCCACGAUACUGAAGCGUAAUUAGCUGCCUACUUUUCAAAAUUAUGUGAUGACUUCAUGGGAAAAGAGAUUCACAAGAACCAGUAACAGGAAAGCUUAAAUAAGCUUGGAAAUCUUUAAACUUUCAAUAUCGGCUCCAAACAGGCAUGCGAGGUGCCUUUGGAAUGCCCCAGGGCACUGUGGCCAGGGUUCACAUUGGCCAAGUUAUCAUGUCCAUCCGCACCAAGCUGCAGAACAAGGAGCAUGUGAUUGAGGCCCUGCGCAGGGCCAAGUUCAAGCUUCCUGGCCACCAGAAGAUCCACAUCUCAAAGAAGUGGGGCUUCACCAAGUUCAAUGCUGAUGAAUUUGAAGACAUGGUGGCUGAGAAGUGGCUCAUCCCAGAUGGCUGUGGGGUCAAGUACAUCCCCAAUCGUGGCCCUCUGGACAAGUGGCGGGCCCUGCACUCAUGAGGGCUUCCAAUGUGCUGCCCCCCUCUUAAUACUCACCAAUAAAUUCUACUUCCUGUCAAAAAAAUGUCACUAAUGUACCCUAAAUUUUCUUUUUUAUUUUUAUUUUUUAUUUAUUUAUUUAUUUUUUUGAGAUGGUGUCUUGCUCUUUUGCCCAGACUGGAGUGAAGUAGCAUGAUCUUGGCUUACUGCAACCUCCACCCCCCAGGUUCACCCUGUGAUUCUCCUGCCUCGCCCCCUGAGUAGCUGGGAUUACAGGUGCCCACCACCAGGCCUGGCUAAUUUUUAUAUUUUUAGUAGAGACUAAAUUUUCUAUGGUUUAUCCACCUUGCAGUUCACAUAUGGCUUGUCAGAACAUCUGGAGCAUUUGCUACUUCAUGCUCACUAGUUUGAUUAAUAUAAUGUCAUUUAACUCGUGGACCAGCAGAUUCUGUGCAGUGUCCCUUUAGACUCUAUUGCAACAGAAAGCAGCAGAGUUAACAUAGACCUGGGGCAACUCUCUGAACUUGCACUGCUGUCCAAUCAGGUAAAUGCUAAGGGCUUUCAGUCCUUUCUCCUGAUAACAACUUUAAAAAAUUCAUUUUCCAGUUUCAUAGCAGCUGUGUUGAUUUGUUCUGUUAGCAGUACUACAUACAACAUAGCAGCUAUGAUUAACACUACCACUUGGUCAGUUUUAUGGUAAGUCCACUAUUGUUUGCUGUGAUCACCCUGAUUUUUGUAGGGGCCAUAUCAGUGAAUUAAAUGGGAAUAUGAUGGGGUCCAUCAUUCAUCAAUCUUUUAGACUUUGAAGAUGGCACAAGUCUCUGCCAUUCCAAAUGACCUAUAGAUUGCUUUUGAUUUAUUAUUUUGGCCAGGUUGCAACGGUGAUUUCAGAAACUUGCACUUGGCUUUUUCUACCACUGUGGCACUUAUCUAGCUGGUGAAGGAACUAAUGUGAGGCUUCUGCCAGCUACUAGGAAUAUCCAAUUUUGCAUUUAUAACUAGGAAAAUAUUCAUCUUGAAGGCCUUAGACUCAUUAGACCCACUGUGAGAUAGACUUGAGAUAGGACACCCAUUUGUCACCUUGCCUCCGUAGAGCCACACUCUAACAGGGGCCAUCAUCACCUAUGUGUCCUCCUAAUAUCAGCGUCAUCUUUUUCUCUAUUUUCAGAAGCCCUUGAAAGAUCUGUAUUAUCCUUUCUCCAGUGUACAGUUAAGAAGAUGAAAGGCCCAAGAUUCUUUUGAUUAAGGAUUAGUGAAAUAUUUAUUUCAUAUACUUGCUAUAGCAUUGCAAAGACCUUUUGAAGGGGAACCUGACCUCUUCUUUCUCAAUUGAUGAGCUGUAUGACUAAGAAUUGGCUCAGAUCUAGACAGCAGAUAAGGGAGCAUGAUUUUCCAUUGCAAUGGCCAUUGCAGUGGCCGACGCCAACCAUUUGCUUUCCAGCUCUUGAUUAUUUAUGUUUAUAGAAAUCAAGGAAUAACCUUUAUUAGUUGCUAAUUUAUUUAACCCCAAGGAACACCCUGGUCAGUUUGCCAUUACCACAGACCCCUGUGGGUCAAGUUUCCUUGGUGACAUUAUGGCCUGUGUCUGUUACAGUAAUUGUGUCAGGCUUACCUCUGAUAGUUAAGUGGUGCCACCUGGCCUCUGUUAUUUCAGAAUCUUAUAACAUCUCCAUUAUCACUAGGAAGCUCAAUUUUAUAGCCAUCUCCUCUCCUAUCAACCCUGGUCUAGAGAUGACAUCUAUCAUCAUUCAUUUUUAAAUGAUGCCAGCACUCCCUCGUUAGUGCAUUCCUUGUAGUUUUAGGGGAGUGCCUACCCAGGUCCUUCCAGGUAAGAAUCAGCUAGUGUGUUCUCAGGUCUUAUGAAAUGAGCCCAAGUCUUUAAGACCCCUUCCUCAAUACUCUGCCAAGGCAGUGCUGGCAUCUCCACUAUAGACCAUCCUUAUUUCCAGACUUCAAGGAGCCAGCCAGCAGUGUAUUAGAACUGACUCCAGGCAACCUUGUCAAGGUAUUAUCAUCUAAGUCUCAGGAGACUGUCCGAUAUCAAUGAAUUCCCUAUAUUCUGUCCCACCUCAACCCUCAUUCCCCAUUCAACACUCUCAGCUUAUAUAUAUAUGUAUGUGUGUGUGUGUAUAUAUGUAUAUAUAUAUAUAUAUAUAUAUAUAUAUAUAUAUAUAUAUAUAUAUCUCACAUAUACUCUGCUGGUUCUUGCUAAUACCCACUAUCCAGGUUCUGAGACUUUGGGGGUAAAUUAUCUAUUUACUUAAAUAACAGGGACAGUAAUUCCCCACUUGAACCAUGCUGAGACCUGACCCCAGUCAUUUGUCUAAAAGCAAUGAGAGGAGGUGAAAGGAGAUCUUGAGGAGGGCAAACAUUGUUUUGUGAAGCCCCAGGAGAGAUUUUUCAGUGGUCCUCAGGCAAUGGGAUGCAACAGGGAGAGGGUUGCCCAUACCAGCCAGAGAUGCUGAAGAGUUAAUGCCAGUAGUAUUAAUACAAUUCUCAGCAAAUAAGGGAAGGGGUUGCUUGGGACUCACCUCUUAAUGGCACAGUUCUGAGGUGUAUUAUACACAUUCUCUCAGAAAGGCCACAGCAACACUGAACUCUGUUUUCUGAAAAUGGUUACCAGUUGAUAAUGGUGCUGAAUAAGCGAUAUACAUAUGCAUGGCAUUCCGGGCACCUGUGCUAAGCAUUUUCUAAGAAUCACUCCUUUUAUUCUCCCAAGGAAGGAAGGAAAGUCAAUAAAAAGUAUAUUACCACCAGAUAUUUCCUCCUAAACACAGAAAAUGAAGAUGAUUUUCUUUUUUUUUU